GAUCAACCGAAGGAGCUACUGCGAUGGCUAUUAAAUCUGCUGACACAACAGGAGCCCCAUUGUGGUUGUCUGUUUCAUGGGGAUAUGUUGCAGUGAUGGUGAGAAUCUGGAGGAAGUUGAUGUCUUGCUUGGUAAUUUGUCCUAUUAAGUCAUCAUCAUUGAGUUCUUCCAUGAGAGCCAUCUGGAAUCCAGACAUGCAAUGACUUAAGUGACUGUCCAAACCACCAGAAUCCAGAUGUCUUGCCCAUGAUCUAUAUUGCCAGGUAUGAAGUUUGUUGCUGGGAGAGGACUUACCUAUCACUAGGCUGUGGAAUGAGUCUACUCAUCUCAAGUAUUUGAGACCAAGAAGUACCUCAUGUCAACUUCCAAGCUGCUGCCUGCUUAAUUCCUCCCCCAGACUUCUGUACUCAUUUGUCCUCUCAAGAAGUGCUGGAGUAGUAGAG
rnacentral:lncRNA from 1 species